rnacentral:rRNA from 1 species
CCUACGGGUGGCAGCAGUGGGGAAUAUUGCACAAUGGGGGAAACCCUGAUGCAGCGACGCCGCGUGAGUGAAGAAGUAAUUCGUUAUGUAAAGCCCUAUCAGCAGGGAAGAAAAUGACGGUACCUGAGUAAGAAGCCCCGGCUAACUACGUGCCAGCAGCCGUGGUAACAUGUAGGGGGCAAGCGUUAUCCGGAUUUACGGGGUGUAAAGGGAGCGGAGUGGGCAGUGCAAGUCUGGAGUGAAAGGCGGGGGCUCAACCCCCGGACUGCCCGGGAAACUGUACGGCUGGAGUGCAGGAGAGGUAAGUGGAAUUCCUGGUGUAGCGGUGAAAUGCGUAGAUAUUAGGAGGAACACCAGUGGCGAAGGCGGCUUGCUGGACUGUAACUGACGUUGAGGCUCGAAAGCGUGGGGAGCAAACAGGAUUAGAUACCCGAGUAGUC